rnacentral:tRNA from 1 species
CAGCAUGUAUUUUAUUUAAAAUUUAAGCUUUGGGAGUUUAAGACGUGUAUUAAUCACUUUGCUGA